rnacentral:lncRNA from 1 species
UUCAACAAAAAUUUCUGCAUAAAACAUUGCAGCCUCUAAUCAAGUUCUCAUCCAGUAACAAUAGGUUUUGGUGGAAGAGGAAGAUUCGACAAAUGUUCUUUAUACAACUGAUACCUUAUAGGUGCCUUAAGAAAUAUUUUGUUCGUAUUUGAAAUAAAAUUAUUAACAA